rnacentral:rRNA from 1 species
AGCUUGCUUCUAUCAAUCUUAGUGGCGAACGGGUGAGUAACGCGUAAUCAACCUGCCCUUCAGAGGGGGACAACAGUUGGAAACGACUGCUAAUACCGCAUACGAUCCAAUCUCGGCAUCGAGAAUGGAUGAAAGGUGGCCUCUAUUUAUAAGCUAUCACUGAAGGAGGGGAUUGCGUCUGAUUAGCUAGUUGGAGGGGUAACGGCCCACCAAGGCGAUGAUCAGUAGCCGGUCUGAGAGGAUGAACGGCCACAUUGGGACUGAGACACGGCCCAGACUCCUACGGGAGGCAGCAGUGGGGAAUCUUCCGCAAUGGACGAAAGUCUGACGGAGCAACGCCGCGUGAGUGAUGACGGCCUUCGGGUUGUAAAGCUCUGUUAAUCGGGACGAAUGGUUCUUGUGCGAAUAGUGCGAGGAUUUGACGGUACCGGAAUAGAAAGCCACGGCUAACUACGUGCCAGCAGCCGCGGUAAUACGUAGGUGGCAAGCGUUGUCCGGAAUUAUUGGGCGUAAAGCGCGCGCAGGCGGAUUGGUCAGUCUGUCUUAAAAGUUCGGGGCUUAACCCCGUGAUGGGAUGGAAACUGCCAAUCUAGAGUAUCGG